GUCAGCAUGGUGUAGUGGUUUGAGUGCUGGACUGGGACUCUGGAGAACAGGGUUCAAAUCCCCACUCAGCCA
rnacentral:tRNA from 1 species